CGUCGUGACGAAUUCUCGUAGUUUCAACCCACGUAAAAAUUUUAAAAAAGAAAUUCAGUUCACUUAUAUUUCCUAGAAUAAAUAUUACUUUUUUUAAUCUUUAUGACAUGUCUUUUUGUUAUGUAUUUAUAUUAAUCUCUAAAGCCUUAUAAAAGUACACUUUAAAAUAUGUUCAAAUAAUUUUUUUUAAAAAAAGUAAUUUUUAUUUCUCCGAAAACGACUGUAGUAAAAUAAAUGAUUUAAAGUUAGUGUAUUGAUGAAAUAAUCCCGGAAUAGAUAAAACGGUAUCUCGAAAAAUGAUAUCGAGUAUGUAUAUAUAUAAGCCGACAAAGGCAGUAUAUAAUAUAAGAUUAUCACAUGAUUUCUCAGUACAGAGAACAAAAAGGAUCAAGCCUGGGUCGAUCGUCAAGUAUUAUAGAGCUGAAAGUAUAAAAGAGCGUAUUCUUGGUUUAGUUGCAAGGGCAACUGCUCGAGCUCGCGGAAGAUCACGAUUCUUCGUAACCCAUCCUCCCACCCUGCCUAUCCUAUCCUCUAUACACAACUUGAACUCUAUAUACGAUACUUAGCUCUUUUCUCGUGUCCGGUCCAUGAACUCUUUAGGGAUUAAAAUUUCGUACUAAGGUUAAGAUAAAUGAGAGUGGACCGAGAGACAAGAAGAAUUAAUGUGGUAUAGCCUCUGGGCUGGGUCUAAUGACCUUAUGAUGACUAUUGCUUUUUUUUAUCCUUCACCCUUUCUUUUUGUUACAAGAACAAAAAAAUUUAUCUUCCAUAUACUUUUUACUUAGACAUCCGCAUUCAUUAAAUUUUCAUUACACGGAAGAGACGGAUUUCAAAAUUUGGUUUUAAUUACUAUUUGAAAAGUAAUCCGAAACCAUUAAUGGAUUCGAUGGCUUUUACUUUUGUCAAAAUGAAAAAUUAUCCUUCACACAAUCACUCGGAGAUUCGAUAAAACCAUUUUUCAAAAAGGCAUAAUCAAAAAAUUAGCGGAGGGAUUUUUUUUUAUGACAAAAAAAAAAUACUGCGCUGGCAUAACUCAUCAUCGAAUAAAGGCACGACUGAAGACAAAAUUUACUUGGUCUUUCUACGAAUUUGAAAGCAAAGGAACAGCCAUCGGUUAAAGUUAAGUCUCAUUUCGUGGAUAAAAAAGAAGAAGAAUAAGAAUAAGAAGAGACGAGAUGUAAGAGGGAAGAAUGAACAUGAUUUCGGUUUGUGUGCAUGGAAACCCUUUGUCGUCUCUGACAGAGUAAUAUGUGUAGUAUGUGUACCACAAAUAUACAUAUAUGAAGUGUACAAAGAGAAAGAGAGGUAAAUAAGAAAGAGACGUUUAAAAAAAAGUAAAAGAAGCAAGACAUGAGAUUUACACGGCAAGCUGUGCCCAUCCUUUCAGAGUUUGCCUCGAGAGUAUCUUCCGGGAAUGGGAUCCAUAUACCAAUACCAGUUUACUGUGCUAUGGGACACAAUAUGUACACAAUACAUCAUACAUUUCAAAGAAUUAUUGUUGUAAUAAUAAUAACUCAUAUUUUUUGGUUUGUCUAGGUUAUUCUCAUUUAAAUUUAUCUACAAGCGCUCGCCUAUUCGAAAGUUCGGAUUCGAUCUUAAAAAAAAAAGUUACCCUCCGAUUUAUUUUUACCAGAUUUAUAGCGGCACUUUUACACGGGUUUCAAAAGUCUACUGAAACCCAUAAAUUUAUCACAGAUAAAGUGCGGGAAAAUUUAAACUUUUUUUUGAAAUUCAAAUUUUUACUGAAAAAAAUUUUUUCUCGAUUGAGAGUUAAAGAGUGGGGGAAUCAUUAAGAAAUGGAGAUCGAUCGUAUGUCAGUCAAUUAUCGAUCAUUAUAGCACGCGAGCGCCGAUAAAGUGGCGAUUAUUACUUUUCUGCCCGGUUUCUUCAUUGUCGGCGCUUAUAAUGAAUUUUUUUCACCUGUGCGAAUUUAGCGUCUCAUCGAAGAAAUUGCGAAAUCAAAAUGACCUGGAUUGAUAGGUCGACGUUAGGUCCGUAUAGG